GACGUAGGGCGCGAGCGUUGUCCGGAUUUAUUGGGCGUAAAGAGCUCGUAGGCGGCUUGUUGCGUCGACUGUGAAAACCCGCGGCUUAACUGCGGGCUUGCAGUUGAUACGGGCAGGCUAGAGUUCGGUAGGGGAGACUGGAAUUCCUGGUGUAGCGGUGAAAUGCGCAGAUAUCAGGAGGAACACCGAUGGCGAAGGCAGGUCUCUGGGCCAUAACUGACGCUGAGAAGCGAAAGCAUGGGGAGCGAACAGG
rnacentral:rRNA from 1 species